rnacentral:rRNA from 1 species
AACGAACGCUGGCGGCAGGCCUAACACAUGCAAGUCAAGCGAAGCCUUCGGGCUUAGCGGCGGACGGGUGAGUAACGCGUGGGAACGUGCCCUUUGCUUCGGAAUAGCCCCUGGAAACGGGGAGUAAUACCGGAUGUGCCCUACGGGGGAAAGAAUUUCGGGAAAGGAUCGGCCCGCGUUGGAUGAGGUGGUUGGUGGGGUAAUGGCCUACCAAGCCGACGAUCCAUAGCUGGUUUGAGAGGAUGAUCAGCCACACUGGGACUGAGACACGGCCCAGACUCCUACGGGAGGCAGCAGUGGGGAAUCUUAGACAAUGGGCGCAAGCCUGAUCUAGCCAUGCCGCGUGAGCGAUGAAGGCCUUAGGGUUGUAAAGAUCUUUCAGUGGGGAAGAUAAUGACUGUACCCACAGAAGAAGCCCCGGCUAACUCCGUGCCAGCCGCCGCCGUAACAC